CACACACACACUCUCCCUCAGACUCCCUCUCACACUCUCUCUCGUCCUCUCUCUCCUCCCUCCUUCCCUCACACGCACGCUCGCCCCAACGGCCCCAGCCGCCGGCAACAAAGCGGCGGGCAGCGCGCCGGGCUGGCGGCGCACGCACACUUACACACACUCACUCACUUAUACACACACACAAUGCUGCCGCGGCACCUACCAGGCGGGCAGCCUCGGCCCAGGUGCCGGCUCGGAGAGAUCCCACGUUAGCGUUUCGGCUCCUUCUGUUGCCGGAGCGGGAAAGAACAUCUUCGUGUGCCAGUGUAAACAAAGGAGUUGAUGUGCUGCGCUCGUAAAACUGACGAGGGAUGUGUUCUCUUCUUGGAUGACUUCGGAUUAAGAUAUACACGAAAUGCGAAUCAAAAGAUUUAGCACACCUUCCUGAGUUGCAGAAUACUGUGGGUUCUUCCUCUCCCCUAAAUAUUAAAGUAUAUUUGCAAUACUAUUGAAA